UACAGAGGUCUCAAGCGUUGUUCGGAUUCAUUGGGCGUAAAGAGCUCGUAGGCGGCUUGUUGCGUCGGCUGUGAAAUCCCGAGGCUCAACCUCGGGUCUGCAGUCGAUACGAGCAAACUAGAGUGUUGCAGGGGAGACUGGAAUUCCUGGUGUAGCGGUGAAAUGCGCAGAUAUCAGGAGGAACACCGGUGGCGAAGGCGGGUCUCUGGGCAACAACUGACGCUGAGGAGCGAAAGCGUGGGGAGCGAACAGG
rnacentral:rRNA from 1 species